rnacentral:lncRNA from 1 species
GUGGUCGGUUGCCUACAUUUCUUGGAGGUAUAGACCUAUCCCACAAUUCACAGCGGAACAGUGUUCUGUGGUCGGGGGGAGGACUAUAAAUGUCCAAGUGCCCAAAUAUCGCUCUCUUACAAGAAAUGGGAAGAGGAGUAGUGACGUGUUGGGUUUUCGUCUAUGAUUUUGCAACCAUGUUUGUCGACCAGACAUGGGAGGACUGCAAGCGGGGGGAAAUCCCUUUCGAUGAAGGCCUGCUGAUAAAGUGA